UGUCUGGUCUGUACUGACGCUGAGGCUCGAAAGUAUGGGUAGCAAACAGGAUUAGAUACCUGGUAGUCCAUACCGUAAACGAUGAAUGCUAAGUGUUGGAGGGUUUCCCCCUUCAGUGCUGCAGCUAACGCAUUAAGCAUUCCGCUGGGGAGUACGGCCGCAAGGCUGAAACUCAAAGGAAUUGACGGGGGCCCGCACAAGCGGUGGAGCAUGUGGUUUAAUUCGAAGCUACGCGAAGAACCUUACCAGGUCUUGACAUACUAUGCAAAUCUAAGAGAUUAGACGUUCCCUUCGGGGACAUGGAUACAGGUGGUGCAUGGUUGUCGUCAGCUCGUGUCGUGAGAUGUUGGGUUAAGUCCCGCAACGAGCGCAACCCUUAUUAUCAGUUGCCAGCAUUAAGUUGGGCACUCUGGUGAGACUGCCGGUGACAAACCGGAGGAAGGUGGGGAUGACGUCAAAUCAUCAUGCCCCUUAUGACCUGGGCUACACACGUGCUACAAUGGAUGGUACAACGAGUUGCGAACUCGCGAGAGUAAGCUAAUCUCUUAAAGCCAUUCUCAGUUCGGAUUGUAGGCUGCAACUCGCCUACAUGAAGUCGGAAUCGCUAGUAAUCGCGGAUCAGCAUGCCGCGGUGAAUACGUUCCCGGGCCUUGUACACACCGCCCGUCACACCAUGAGAGUUUGUAACACCCAAAGUCGGUGGGGUAACCUUUAGGAACCAGCCGCCUAAGGUGGGACAGAUGAUUAGGGUGAAGUCGUAACAAGGUAACCA
rnacentral:rRNA from 1 species